UACGUAGGGGGCUAGCGUUGUCCGGAAUCAUUGGGCGUAAAGAGCGUGUAGGCGGCCCGGUAAGUCCGCUGUAAAAGUCAAAGGCUCAACCUUUGAAUGUCAGUGGAUACUGCCGGGCUAGAGUCCGGAAGAGGCGAGUGGAACUCCUGGUGUAGCGGUGGAAUGCGCAGAUAUCAGGAAGAACACCCGUGGCGAAAGCGGCUCUCUGGGACGGUACUGACGCUGAGACGCGAAAGCGUGGGGAGCAAACAGG
rnacentral:rRNA from 1 species